rnacentral:RNase_P_RNA from 2 species
AAAGCAGACCAUGCGGCCGCCCUCAUUAAAUGUAUGGGGGAGGAAAGUCCGAGCUCCAUAGGGCAGGACGGUUGCUAACGGCAACCGGGGGAGACCCCAGGGAAAGUGCCACAGAAAAUACACCGCCCAAUCAACGAGUAUCUCUUUGGGUAAGGGUGAAAUAGUGAGGUAAGAGCUCACUGUUGCCUGUGGUGACACAGGGGACAGGUAAACCCCGUCCGGAGAAAGGUUGAAUAGGUUUCACCCCCCACGCAGAGCACGCCCACUCUGUUGCCGGAGUGUCGGCAAGGUGAGACGGGUAGCAACCGCAAAAGGCUGAUAGCAAUAUCACAUGUCUUAGACGAAUGACCGCAUAAAACAGAACUCGGCUUACGGUCUGCUUUAAAA